rnacentral:rRNA from 1 species
UACGUAGGGGGCGAGCGUUGUCCGGAUUUAUUGGGCGUAAAGAGCGUGUAGGCGGCCUGGCAGGUCUGCUGUGAAAACUCGAGGCUCAACCUCGAGAUGUCGGCGGAAACCGUCUGGCUAGAGUCCGGAAGAGGAGAGUGGAAUUCCUGGUGUAAGCGGUGAAAUGCGCAGAUAUCAGGAAGAACACCUAUGGCGAAGGCAGCUCUCUGGGACGGUACUGACGCUGAGACGCGAAAGCGUGGGG